rnacentral:lncRNA from 1 species
UAUAUCGAUCGUCCGAUGGAUGGACCGAUAUAUACUACAGCUAGCUGCUAAUUCUCAUUUAGCUCCCGGGGGCGAAGUUGGUAGCAAAGGCCCAUGCAUUGUUGUUGACUGGGUCGGCGACGUGGUCGAAGAGGUUCUCGACGGGUCCCUUGCCCGUGACGAUGGCCUGCACGAAGAAUCCAAACAUGGAGAACAUGGCGAGGCGGCCGUUCUUGAGCUCCUUGACCUUGAGCUCAGCGGCGGUGUCUGGGUCGUCGGCGAGACCGAGGGGGUCAAAGGCGCCACCGGGGUAGAUCUUGUCGAGCCCCUCACCGAGAGGGCCUCCACCAACACGGUAACCCUCGAUGAAGCCCAUGAGCACAACUUGGCAUGCCCAAAUGGCGAGGAUGCUCUGCGCGUGCACGAGGUUAGGGUUGCCCAGGUAGUCCAGGCCGCCCUCGGAGAAGAUCUGCGAGCCGGCCUUGAACCACACCGCCUCGCCGAACUUGACACCAUUCUUGGAGAGGAUCUCCGGGAACACGCACCCGAGCGCGCCAAGCAUCGCCCAACGAGAGUGGAUCACCUCGAGCUCCCUGUUCUUGGCGAACGUCUCUGGGUCAGCUGACAACCCCGCGGUGUCCCAGCCGUAGUCACCGGGGAACUCGCCGGUCAGGUACGACGGCGUCUGCUCGGAGAACGGGCCCAGGUACUUGGGACGGUCAGGGCCGUACCUAUAUAUACACGCACGGUCAUUUCAUCACCAUUAAUUUCAUUCAGGCGAAGCCAAUUGCGCGGUACUUGAUGCAUGUAGUACAUAGAAAUGUAGCUUUGGACGAAGAAAAAGAUAUACUUACCAGAUGCUCUGGGGUGCGCUCUUGACAGUCCGGCGCAUGGUGAUGCGGCCGCCGAAGUCGCCGACGCUGCGGACGAGGUCAUCGCGGCGUGGGGCGGUGCCGAGGAAGCUGGUGGUCUGGUGCAGCGCCGACGCGGCCAUUUCGAUCCCAAUUCAAGUGGUAAGGUCAGUGAGAGAUGAGCUGGUGGCUGGUGUUGUUUGAGUGAGGAUGCCCGGCUCGGGGAGGUGGAUCUUUAUACGGCGCCUGAGAGGCGCGGGGCGAAGCUGGUGGACGCGCGGCGAGACACGUCCCCGCGACCCAAUUGGCUGCUGCUUCGCCUCUGGAUAUGGCGCGGUAUCCAUCCCCCUCCACGCGACCACUCGUCGGCCGCCACCUGGAGCCCAAGAUCGCAUCGCCCACAUCCUACACUAUCCCGACCAUAUAUGCACAUAUGUGCUCUGUUUCAUUUUAUCACGGUACAAUACUUGCCUAGAUCCGGUGAAACCGUGACAAAAUCAAACGACACCACCCACCAGUUUUCAUCUCACUGAUCGACCUGGUGAUGCGAGGUGAUUGAACCUCUCGCAGAUGUUCUUACCUUGCUCCGCUGGAUAAAGAUAUUACGGUUUUGUUAGUUCUAGGUUGUCAGAUUUUUAGUUAGAGAUAAGUUGAUUUUUCGGCCGUUGGAUAUGAUUUGUGCUUUAAAAUUUGCAAAGGAUGAUGAAAAAAAAAAGAUUUUUUACACUGGAUCAUACUGCUCCUCUUAUCCCAUCCGUCCGCUGUGCCUCGAGAUUCGUGCCCGACACCACAUAGUGAAAACUGCCUUCUGACUGCUGCUGAGUCCCACUCCUCAUUUUCCUUCUUCCCCAACCUCAAGCGCCUCUCUCUCUCUCUGCCCCUCUCUCUCUCUCCCCCCCAUGGUGCUGCUCCAUGUUAGGCGUCUCUCUCUCCUCUCCAUGGUGCUGCAUUGCCGCUCCAUGUUUUCACGCCUCUCUCUCCUCUCCAUGGUGAUGCUCUCUCUCUCUCUCUCUCCUAUCCAUGGCGCUGCACCAGUGGCUGCGGCGGCGACGGCACGGCCAUGUGUUGGAGGCGGCAGCAGGCGGUGCGCAUGUGGUGGCGAUAGCGGCCAACAUCGUGCCAUGUGCUUUUGGCGAGCCAGUUUUUUUCUUCGGCACACUAUAGAAGAGGCCAAGAGGGAGUGGUGUGCUCGAGACUCAAGAGUGACUGAAGCUUUCCCUGAAAAAAGAGAGCAAAGUGAGAUCUAAAUAUUAAUCUAAUGGCUCUGAUUCGUCAACUUAGAUCUAAGCCUUUUUUGCUUAAAUCAGGCAAAUUAGAUAUAGCAACGUCCGAUCUAAACCGUCUAAUUUCUUUUGAGUAUAAUGUGUGUUUUUGUUUGGCUUCAGUUUCAUUGUUCCAUGCGAUUUGGUUAAUUUUUUUAUACCAAAAAAGAGAGAUUUGGCUAAUUUUAACCUGAAGAUUGGUGGAUACUGAGCAUCUCCAAUGGGGUCUCCCAAAAGCUAUCCCAAAUGUCUCUUUGGGGGAUAUGGAUAUUUUGUUCUCAAAAUCAUUCCCGAAUGGCAUCCCCAAAACGGACAAAAUUUCCUCUUUGUCCGUCCCCAUCCUCAAAUUGGCCCCAAAUUUGGGGAGGUUUGGGGUGUCCGGAGACCGGACACACACUCACUUCUUAUCCGGCCCGAUCUCACAAAAAGCAGAGAUUCCAGUCCUUCUUCCUCUCCCUCUCUCUCUCUCUCUCUCUCUCCCCCCUCCGCACAUAGUGGAGCCGGAAGAAGUCAUGUGUUGCAUGCGAAUAAUGACAGAGGUCAUGUGCUGCAUGCGAAUUCAAAGACUAUGUGCUGAAGGAACCAGUCAUGCGCUGACACAUGGCAUCUUAUACCAUAUACCAAUAAAAUAUAUCAUAUAUCAUUUACUGACACCAUGUAUUGAACCACAUACAUUGACUGAUAUCAUAUAUCAUUGACUAAUACCAAGGAAAAUAUCAUUCACAUAGCAUAUACCAAUCCAUAUACCAUUGACCCAUAUCAUGUACCAUUGACUCGUAACAAAAUAUAAUACUAAGGUGGGUCGGCCCACCACCACGUGCCAGCUUGUGCCGGCACCACUACAUAGCGGUGCCGGUAGAAUCGCCGCUUUACGUCUACCUCCCUCUCCCUGCUUUCUCUGCUCCCUCUCUCGAUCUCUCUUCCUCUGACUUCUCCUCACCAUCUCUUCUCUCUGGGCGGCGCCGAAUCCGACCGGCGCUGUCUCGACCGCCGCCGCUCCGCCGCGGGUCCUUCCGCGAACGAACUGCUCUGCCUGGGCAAGCUCCACAAGGUCGCGCCACUGCAGAAAGCAUCCGCAGGCUGUGGAGAUUCGCCCGGACCUCGUCCUCCGACGGCAGUACCAAAGCGGCGCCGGCGUUCAGUCCAGGAGCACAUGCAGGGACGAACAGCAGGGUCAAGCUUCAUCCGCUAGCCAACGUAAUCAAAAGACCGGUCUGAUGGAAACUCUAGACAAUUCACUUAUACACUUCAACACCCCGCCCCCCUCACGUGUGACGGGAAGACAAGUCAACACGUGUAAACUCAGAGGUAUGGUGGUUCAAGAGGCCAAUACAUGAACAGAGGGGGUAACAACAAUUUUUAAUAUAAAUUGUGAAAGCCAGGACUUGCCGUUGGGUGACGAGGGCAGACACAGGGCGUACAUAUGUCUAUUUGCCCUCCAAACGGACAAAAUGAGGACAUUUGAGGGCAAAAUUUGGAGGACCCCAUUGGAGAUGCUCUAAGAUCUUGUGGUGUUGCAGUUAUAAAAACCACUCCCUCCGUCCAACAAAAGAUGUCUUAAGUUUGUCAAAAUUUGAAUGUAUAUAGACAUGACUUAGUGUAUAGAUGCAUUCAAAUUUAGUCAAAUUUGGACAUCCUUUGUUGGACGGAGAAAGUAUUUUUGUAAGGCGGUUAUAAGAACUACUAGUACUACACAACCGCGUUUUGCUUUUCUUUUUCCUAAAAUUGAACUAGUACCGAUCAGCCUAUAUAUGCAUCUUCACGUUCUAUUAAUAUCUACACUGAUAACUUAUUGAGUGAAAGAAAAGGUUUUAGGAAUAAUAUAUGUAUAUGAAAAUUUAGAAUCACGUAUGAGUUGGACACAGUAACAGAAACUUGUAGUAUAGAAGUACUCUAUUUCCCUACUACCUUAGACAAUAUAAAUAUUGAGACCAUGUUACUCCCUAUUUAAUAUUCAGAUUUCUUUUUGUUUUGUUCUUGUUGCUGAAUGCAGUUCAAUGUAUUGCUCUAAUUUGAGUUGUCCCUAUAAUUAUUUUUACAAGUUUUGAAAAAAAGGUAGUGUAUGUUAAUUAAGAACCAAGAUUCAUACAAUCAUUCAUAACCACGCAGGACAGCACGGAAUUACUCAACACACCUCCAGUGCACACCUUACUGCAGUAGCUAGCUAGCUCAUGAGCCACAUAAUUGUUCUCUCUUUUAGUAAAAACGAAGCGAAUGCCAGGAUCAAAAGUAGUGACCUGUGGAAUGUCAACCACCAUUGAGCAUCUUGAAGACCGAUUAUCCGCCAAGGAGUAAAGAGCCUGAAUGAAGGAGACGCAAUCGCUUUCAACAAUCAAAGGUGCCGAGGAGUGUUGCCUGGCUAUCUUGAGGCCCUGAAGACAAGCCACACCCUCAGCCAUCUCUGCAUUAGGACAACGAGCAAUGGCGUCCCAAGCUGACAGAAUUACGGUGCCAUGUUCAUUGUCAAUCUUCAUGCGCUAGCCAACGCAACCAAACGAUCGAUCUGAUGAAAAUAAGCAAUCCACUUAUACGCUUCAACACCCCGCCUCACGUGUGACGGGGAAGAUAAGUUAACACAUGUAAACUCAGAAGUAUGGUGGCUCAAGAGGUCAACAUAUGGACGGAGAGGUAACAUCAAUUUUUAAUAUAAAUUGUGAAAGCCAUGACUUUAACAUGAGACAUUUGGCUUUGAUACCAUGUCAAACUUCAUGCGCUAGCCAAUGCAACCAAAAGAUCGAUCUGAUGGGAAGGGCUAGGCAAUCCACUUAUACACUUCAACAUUGAUCAAGGAGAACCGCACCCCAAGUAACAAUGUUCACGCCCGACGAAAAGCUAGCAUUCACGUUGAGUUUGAGCCAUCCCGUGUCUGGUGGUCUCCAGGCCGAAGGUGGACAAGGCUGGACAGUUGCAUGUUCCUCUGCUCGGGUUGUACUACACGAUUUUCCUUCAAGAUCAGGUUCCAGCAUCUUAUCCUUAAUUGUCAUCAUGGAGUUUGCAUAAUUGAAAAGAAAUUGUGCCGAAGGUUGGAUCGAUGCAUCUCCUUUCGCAAAGAUGAUAUCAUUCCGGAGAUGCACGCUCGCCACCAUAUGAAUAGGAGUUUGGUACGGGAGUCCUCAUUCACCUGAUCGAGUAACACCAAAACCCAAUCGCGCCCAAAGUAGCGAAUACCAGUUUCAGGUGGCAGCGGCAUGAAAUCCAUCUUCAGGCUCCAUGCCACACAUGGUGCAAGUCUCGUGGAUGUUUUUGAAGCGAUGGUGGUGAUUAGUUUGCACAGCAAGGGAAAUUGUGGCUAACUUCCAACCAAACACCUUGAUUUUGGGUGGAACCUGAGGCUGUGUCUUCCGUCAGACCUUGUGCUAUUACCGGUGUUAGCAAGCUGCAGCUUGAGGUUGAAAGGGUUCAAAGCAAGCCUGUAAGCACUGCGUACAUUAAAAACUCCAGAUUUUUCAUGAUGCCAAGCGAUGAAGUCAUCCAUUUGUUGUUCAGGGAUACGGGUCUUAAGAAUUUCCUCUGUAUCAAAAUCAUGGAACAUGUUGCGGAUGACCUGCUCAUUCCAAACUCGGUUGUCCUGAUCAAUAAGACCUGCCACAUGCCGGAGUCUCGACUGACUUGCUCUGCUAGGGACUUGCAGUGCCACGGGGAAUCCAGUUGUCCCGCCAAAUUUGAACCCUAUUGCCCUUACCAAUCCUCAAAAUCAGUCCCUUCUUAAGCAACUCAAGCCCAUGCAUGAUACCCUGCCAGCAGACCGAAGUGUUCUUAAUAAACACCGUAUCGGCGAGCUCUCCGUUGGGAAAAUAUUUCGCUUUGAGAAGGCAGGUGUAGAGGGAGUCCGGAACCGUCAGAGGUCUCUGAAACCAAUGCUGCCAUGCAACUUAGGUUUUAUCAUUUUCUCCCAGCCCAGCCAGUGAACCUUCUUCUGAUUAGUUUCGUCUCCCCACCAGAAAUCACGAGACGAAUGUGAGAUGUCAACAGAGGUUAGGAGAGAACUUAAAGAUACUCAUUCCAUAGGUCGGCAUUGCCUGAAUGACAGACUUGAUAAGAACCUCCUUACCUCACUGGAUAAAUAUUUUUCACACCAAUCUGAACAACGCUUAGUAAUUUUAUCUUUGAUGGACUGAAACUUUUUGUCUUUCAUGCGACCCUCGGGAACUGGAAGGCUCAAAUAUUUCUCUUCAAAACUUGGCGAAUGUACCACCAAAAUAUUCAUCACCACAUUGGUGUUAUGCAGGCUGCACUUGUUACCCAUCAAGAUUGUGCAUUUAUUUGGACUGAGCAUCUGACCUGCCCCUUCCUCAUAACAAUUCAGCAAGUGUUUGAUCGUCUGAGCCAGGUCAGCAUUGGCUUUAAAGAAAAUGAGGCUGUCAUCGGUGAAAAGAAGAUGAGAAAUACCCAGGCUUCGGCAAAUGUGGAGCUUCUAGAUGCGUCCGUUGUUGAUUUCAUUCUGUAAAAGGAGCAAAAGACCGUCUGCCAUGAACAAAAAGAGAUAAGGCGAUAGUGGGUCUCCUUGUCACAGACCUCUGGUGGGUUGGAAGGCCUACAGCAGAUCCCCAUUCAACCACACACGGUAUUUAACAGUCUUGACACAUCACGUAAUCCUAAUUAAUCCAAAUCGGGGGAAAACCUAAACUGCUCAUUGCUUGUUCGGGGAAGGACCAAUCAACACGAUCAUACGCCUUGGCGAGAUCAAGCUUAUAAGCAAAAAACUGACCUCGAGCUCUUCUGGAUCAUGUGUAGGCACGCAAAGGCAAUGAGGCCACCUGAAUGCCUGGUACAUGCUAGAUAUGCUACUAACAGCUGCCAACCCGAACUGAUGAAUCAAUGAUCUCAUUGUUGGGUGUUGACAACGUUGUUAACACAUAGCUAAUUGUUAACACAUGCAAACUUCUUCUGGGUGCUACUUGUUGCUCCUUAGAGAUUUGUGAAUGCUAUUUUUUGAAUGGUAUAAAAAAUGCUCUUAGGUGCAAGCUUCCGCUACUGCUUGCAAUAUACACUACAAGGAAAAAAAAAUAAACAUAGCAUUAGCCACGAACUAUUGGUAACCAAGCUGUUUGGUAGCUAUAUGUAUAACUAUCACAACCAAAGUACUGGUAUGUACAUUGGUUACUAUACAUACGUUGUUGGUAGCCACGGAUAUGUCCUUUGGUGACAAUAAUGGCAAAAUUGGUCGUUAGAUAUUCACUAGGGACUAGAGUGUAGCGACCAAGAAAGGACCAAGUAGUGUCACUAACAAUAGAUCACAUAUUUAUGUUAACGAACUUAACAAGUGGUCGCGAGUAUUUAAAGAACCGAGCCGAACCAUGCUUUUAGAUCAUUAUCGAUAAUGAGCUUAAUGAUCUGCUCCUAGAAUGAUCCAAGCUUAACAAACCGAGUUGUUAACAAAACGAAAGGCUCAUUAGGUAGCCCUAAUUACACUAUCAUUGCCAGGAAUGGGUGAUGUGUGGUAGUAUCCAGGAAUGGGUGAUGUGUGGGACUGCCAGACUUAACACAAGGAAUUAAAUGUGCAAUAUUUACUUCUCUGUUUUUUAUGUCUAUAUAUUUAAGUUUAUUUCUUCUUAAAUGCACAAUAUUUACACAAUUAAAUGCACGACCUUAAAUAUAUAGGCAUAAAAAACAAAGGAGUAGAUAUUGUGCAUUUAAGAUAAAAUAUAACAUAUAUAUAUAUAUAUAUAUUCUUAAAUGCACAAUAUCUACUCCUUUGUUUUUUUUAUGUCUAUAUAUAUUUAAGGUUGUGCAUUUUGAAAAAAAAAUAUUUUUCUUAAAUGCACAAUAUUUACUUCUUUGUUUUUUAUGUCUACAUAUUUAAGGAUGUCUUAACUCAAAAUUUAUCAACUUUGAUAUAGUUUGUAGAAAAAAUCAACAUCAUUAAUGCAAAAUAUAUGCAAUAUGAAAAUAUGUUUAAUAGUAAUUGUAAUGGAAUAAAUGCAUACAACGUGGUAGUGUACUCCUGCCGGAUAACCUUAGCUACCAAGCAAACGCAAACUCUGUCUCCUCGGCCCUAUAAAUGGGGCGUGCAAUCCAGCGGCAGCCUCAGCAAAACACAAGGAUAUUUGCUUCAGAGAGAGAGAGACUCAAACUCUGAGUAAGUGAAGCACCUGAUAGAGAAAGAGAUAGAGAGAGGGAGAGAGAGUUUUGAGACCGGCUGAUCGAAAUGGCGAGGCAAGGCGUUUUCUCCAUGCUUGCUAUGGCAUUGCUCCUCGGAGCCUUGGUCUCCAUCCCAAAAGGUAAUCCACUCUCAUCAUCUUCCAUUCACCAUUGGAUACUUGAUCACCCAAUUUCCUUAAGAAGGCUAAUGAAGUUACUUGUGCAGGCGUGGAAUCCAUCGGGGUGUGCUACGGCAUUAGGGGCAGCAACCUACCGUUGCCGAGCACCGUGGUGAGCAUGCUCAAAUCCAACGGGAUCUCCUCCAUGCGCCUGUACGCGCCGGACCACGCCGUGCUGGACGCCCUGCGUGGCACGAACAUCAGCGUCGCCAUUGGGGCACCCAACGACGCGUUGCCUGCCCUGGCCGGCAGCAAGGUCGCGGCCGCCGCGUGGGUCAAGGACAACAUCAACACCCAAGCAUACCCCACGGUCUCCUUCCGCUACGUCGUCGUGGGCAACGAGGUCGCAGGUAACCUCACGGCGCACCUCGUCCCGGCCAUGGAGAACAUGCGCCACGCGCUCGAUGCCGCUGGGCUGGGUCACACCGUGCUGGUCACCACGUCUGUGUCGCAGGAAAUCCUGCACGUGUACAGCCCUCCCUCCGCGGGGAACUUCACCGCCGAGGCUGACUGUUUCAUGAGCCACGUGAUCCCCUUCCUGGCACGCACGGGCGCGCCGCUCAUGGCCAACGUCUACCCAUACCUGGCCUGGGCGUGGAACACGAGCGCCAUGGACGUCAAGUACGCGCUCUUCACCGCGCCCGGCGUCGUCGUCCAGGACGGUGCCUACGGGUACCAGAACCUGUUCGACAUCACGGUGGACGCCUUCUACGCGGCCAUGGACAGGCACAACGGCGGGUCGCUUGUGAGGCUCGUGGUGUCCGAGAGCGGGUGGCCGUCGGCCGGCAACAAGGAGGCGUCGCCGGACAACGCGAGGGUCUACAACCAGCGCCUCAUCGAGCAUGUCGGCGGCGGCACGCCGCGACGCCCGGUUGCCAUUGAGACGUACAUCUUCUCCAUGUUCAACGAGGACCAGAAGGCGACCGGUGUGGAGCAGCACUGGGGCCUCUUCUACCCCAACAUGCAGCACGUUUACCCCAUCAAGUUCUCAUAGCUUUCUUUUUGGAGAGGAGCUUCUGAUAGCUAUAUAGCUGCGAGCCUGGAGGAUGAACCAGCCCACUGGAGCGCAAGACUCGGCCCCACAAGGCUUCGACAACUUCCAGCCCGUGUACGCGGUGCCGAAUGGCGUACCUGAGUCGCUGGCUAUUUGUAGCUUUCCUUUUGCCCAAAUUUUUUUUGUAGCUUUCCCCUACCUUCCUCCUCCUUGGCUUUCUUGUAACAGGCGAUGCCUUAAUAGACUCUAGUGAAUUCGAAUUCACCGCAGCAAUUCCGCGAGCACAAUCCCUCGAUCUCGCUACUCCUGUGUGGUGUUAACUCUGGUAUCAGAGCUGCAAUCCUAGACAAAAAAAAUUCACCGCCUACCCAUCCCCACCAGACUUGUAGUGUCGUUCGCCGACGAGCUAUGGAGGUCGAAAGCUUCACCGGUUUGCAAAAUCAUGGAGAACCAGAAGAACACACUCUCGGAUGCGUUGGAGGACCAGCGACGGUGCAGCGAGAAAGUUCUCACAUCUGUGGGGGAUCUACAGAUUCAGGUGGAUCGCGUCCUCAACACAUCACGGCGCACGGCGUCUUCUCCGCAUGCGCCGCUGGAGGACAUGAUCGGCCCUCAUGGGCACGGUGAUGACAAGCUUGACCGGGGGAAUGUACAUGAUACUUCUGAGGUAUAUGUCCCUCCUCCGGCGAGAGGUGCGCGUAGCUCCCGUGCCGAAUCCCCUCCCUCUCGCCGUAACUCACCUCCCCCACACCACCGCACUAGCUAUUCCCCGCAUGGAUAAUUUCCCACGAUUUGAUGGAUCCUGCCCCAAGUUGUGGCAGCAUCGGUGUGAGGAUUAUUUUACCUUUUAUGGUACCAAUAGAUCGAUGUGGAUCACCCACGCGUAUCCUCUUGACUGAUUGCCUGCAGAAUCUGGAAGACCAGCGCCCGCCGUAUUGCCAAAGUCUUAACCCUUCCUCGCGCUCGAAGGUUCCUGGACACCAUCAAGAAAAAAUGGCAGCACGGCGGCCCUUCGUUUCCGCUCGUCGGCCCAAGCGAUGCUGGCAUGGCUUCCCUUGGAUUUGUCUCACCGGCCCGCGCACAACACCCGCAAUAAGCGCCAAGGUCUUGUUGCUGUUCACGCGAGGUUUUUUGUUUAGGCGUAUUGGCUUUGGACUGAGUGCCAUCGGGCUACGGAGCUAUGAGCAUAAAAGGCGUCACAUUCCCUAGCCACCGUCGUUCCCCCAACCAGGCCAGGCCAGGGGCAACCAGUUUGCGUCGACCCGGACCGCGGACGGAGCGUCAUCUCGUCCGCCCUAGCGCCAUACUGGCCCGCCCAUCAGCCACAUAGCACAAAGCCGCCCCAUUUCCAUCCUCAGACCCUAGCUCUAGGCCCCGCCGCCGCCGCCCUCGCUGCUGCCUUUGCAGCCGCCCGAUCUCUCUGCCGCGCCUAUCUCGCCGCCCAUCGGCGGAGACCGUGGACAGCAGUCGCCGCCGCCAGCCGCCGCGACGCCAUGGCCGAUAGCGACUCCGAGUUCUUCUUCAAGCACUUCACGGACAGCGACGACGAGGACUCCGACGGCGAUGGCUGGUGAGUGCUGCUCUUUGGUACCGUCAGCAUAAUCAGGUCCGGCGUCCAACUCGUCGGGGGUCAAUUAGGGGCCGUGCUUACGUGCUGGCCUGCAACAGACAAGCCGGCCAUCUUCUUCUUUUCAGUGAUUACUUUCAUCGCACAAAUCCAGUAUUUCCUGCCCACCUGUUCCAACGCCGGUACCGGAUGGGGCGGCUGCUGUACAAGCGUAUCAUGCAAGACGUUGCCGUAUACGAUGAUUACUUCAUUUGCAAGCCGGAUGCCUGCGGUAGGAUUAGGUUUUCCAGUUAUCAGAAAUGCACGGCGGCAAUUCGGAUGAUGUCAUAUGGAGUUGCCGGCGACAGUCUCGAUGAGCAUAUGUGGCAACAUGUAGGAAACCAGUAGGGAUUUCCUACUUAUUUGAGUGUUUGAACUAUAUUUGAAACAAUAUUUGUUUAAUUAUACUAUUUGUAUUGUAUGAUUUGUAAUAAUUCGGCACAUUUGUUUGAAUUUUAUUAGCUUUGUGUUUGUAUCUGAAAUUGCCACUAUUUUGGAGUUGAUGUGUUUGUCAGACCAAAAUGAGUCGCCCCGCUGGCAGCACUGCUCGACUCAAACGGACUGAGUCCGGACAGAUGCCCUUUUCUAUGCGUCCCACGAUCCAAACGACCACAAAUACUCGUCCGUCUCGGUCGCGUGGCUGGAGUUGCUCUUAGAUAUGGAUCUGCAGGUGUAUACCAGGCGGACGCACAAGAUACAACGCCACCGUUAAGCAAGUGCACGGUUGACCCUCAGGGUCAAGGAAACGAAAAAAAAGCAAUGGAAUAGUAUAAACGUGGCGCCAUGAGUUGCGCGGAAUACGCCUCCACCAGUGUCAGCGUUUGAGGGUCGUCCCGAAUUGAUUGGCGGCGGGGCGGCUUGUGGAGGCAAGGCAACCGGCAACCGCGCAUGGUACGACCUCGUCCAGGAAGCGCCCAUCCUACCUACCUGCGCACCUACCGUACCGUGUCAAGGUCCAACCGCAACUAGUCUACACGUCCAACGUUUUAGACCGCAUCGCCUUGCUGCUUCUUCCCUUCCUUGGGUCUCUGCUCUGCCCUGUUCUUUUAUAUAACAUGUGGAUCAGUCUUGCUCUCCUUAACAGCAACCACCGACACUCUGCAACUGCAGUUUCUUCUACUGAUCACAAGCCAGCCAUGAUGAUUCUUCAGGUCACGUUACUUCUCCUCCUCCGUGCGGCGACCGGCUCCCAGCUCGACGCUCUGGCCGCGUCGUGCUCCGGCUCGCGAACCUUCGCCGCCGAUAGCUCCUUCGCCAGCAACCUCCAGAGCCUGAUGUCCCUCCUGGAGACCAAGGCCCCGGCCAUCGGCUUCGACAUCGGCACGGCAGGCGGCCGCGGCGACCAACGCGUGCACGGCCUGGCCAUCUGCCGCGGCGACAUUCCCAGGGCGAGCUGCGCCGAGUGCAUCCGCUCCGCGACGGGCCAGGCCCAGCGCCUCUGCCCAUCCAAGAAGGAAGCCGUCCUCUGGCUCGACGGCUGCAUGCUCCGCUACUCCGGAGAGCCGUUCUUCGGCGAGGUCGACGCCGACCACGUCACAUUCGUCCCUGAAGCUGCGGGCAACAGCGUGAUCCAGAGCGCAGCGACAACAUCGGCCGAUCUCGACAGGGAAGUCGCGGCCAUGAUGAAGAGGCUCACGAGGACGGCGUACCUCUCGCCGCUGCUGUUCGCGGCCGAGGCGGGCGGCGGGUCGAAGCAGCAUAGGCUGCACGGACUCGCGCAGUGCACCAAGGAUCUGUCCGGCGGCGACUGCAAGCUCUGCCUCGAAGCCGCUAUUGGUAGACUGGCGGCGAGGGGAUGCGCCAAGGAGGGAGGGCAAGUAUUCGGUGGAAGCUGCAGCUUGCGGUAUGAGGUGUAUCCGGUUUUUGAUUCCUAGGUUGGUGCCUUCAAUCGUUGUUUUGUAAGCUGUAAUUAACGUGUGAGGUUACCAUGUCCAUAUUGUUCAUACAAAUUCUCGUGUAUACGUGCAAAUACAAGAAAGUGCGAUUUCUGCUUCAACUUUGGAUGGAGUGCUUUGACAUUCUCCACUUUCAUUAGUUUGACCCAUUUCUAUUUUCAAUGGUGGACCACACAUGGAGGUUAUAAUUAAGGGUGUGCGCUUCGAAAACCAACUUUAAGCCAACAGUCCAAAAUACUGUCACACCAGGACGAAUAGGCAUUUUUCUGGAUUUACCGAGAGUGUGGCCGCAUCCUAUCCUAUAUACUCGUGGGGUUAUAAUUUGCACUAAAACCACGAUAAAUAUUUAGGAACGAAGAGCA